ensembl:snRNA U6 U6 spliceosomal RNA
AUACUUUCAGCAGCACAUGUAUUACAAUUGGAACAAUACAGAGAACAUUUGCAUGGUUCCUGCGCAAGGAUGACAUGCAGAUUCGUGAAGCAUUCCAUAUUAAA